rnacentral:rRNA from 1 species
AGAGCGAACGCUGGCGGCAGGCCUAAUACAUGCAAGUCGAACGGAUCCUUCGGGAUUAGUGGCGGACGGGUGAGUAACACGUGGGAACGUACCCUUUGGUUCGGAACAACUCAGGGAAACUUGAGCUAAUACCGAAUGUGCCCUUCGGGGAAAAGAUUUAUCGCCAUUGGAGCGGCCCGCGUCUGAUUAGCUAGUUGGUAGGGUAAAGGCCUACCAAGGCUACGAUCAGUAGCUGGUCUGAGAGGAUGAUCAGCCACACUGGGACUGAGACACGGUCCAGACUCCUACGGGAGGCAGCAGUGGGGAAUCUUGCGCAAUGGACGAAAGUCUGACGCAGCAACGCCGCGUGAGGGACGAAGGCUUUCUGAGUUGUAAACCUCUUUCGACAGGAACGAUUGUGACGGUACCUGUAGAAGAGCACCGGCCAACUAUGCGCCAGCAGCCGC